rnacentral:rRNA from 1 species
UACGGAGGGUGCAAGCGUUAUCCGGAUUUACUGGGUUUAAAGGGUGCGUAGGCGGACUUUUAAGUCAGUGGUGAAAUCCCCGAGCUUAACUCGGAAACUGCCAUUGAUACUAUUAGUCUUGAAUUCGGUCGAGGUUGGACGGAAUGUGUCGUGUAGCGGUGAAAUGCUUAGAUAUGACACAGAACACCGAUUGCGAAGGCAGCUAGCUAGACCGACAUUGACGCUGAGGCACGAAAGCGUGGGGAUCAAACAGG